GGCGAACGGGUGAGUAACACGUGAGUAACCUGCCCUUAACUCUGGGAUAAGCCUGGGAAACUGGGUCUAAUACCGGAUAUGACUCCUCAUCGCAUGGUGGGGGGUGGAAAGCUUUUUUGUGGUUUUGGAUGGACUCGCGGCCUAUCAGCUUGUUGGUGAGGUAAUGGCUCACCAAGGCGACGACGGGUAGCCGGCCUGAGAGGGUGACCGGCCACACUGGGACUGAGACACGGCCCACACUCCUACGGGAGGCAGCAGUGGGGAAUAUUGCACAAUGGGCGAAAGCCUGAUGCAGCGACGCCGCGUGAGGGAUGACGGCCUUCGGGUUGUAAACCUCUUUCAGUAGGGAAGAAGCGAAAGUGACGGUACCUGCAGAAGAAGCGCCGGCUAACUACGUGCCAGCAGCCGCGGUAAUACGUAGGGCGCAAGCGUUAUCCGGAAUUAUUGGGCGUAAAGAGCUCGUAGGCGGUUUGUCGCGUCUGCCGUGAAAGUCCGGGGCUCAACUCCGGAUCUGCGGUGGGUACGGGCAGACUAGAGUGAUGUAGGGGAGACUGGAAUUCCUGGUGUAGCGGUGAAAUGCGCAGAUAUCAGGAGGAACACCGAUGGCGAAGGCAGGUCUCUGGGCAUUAACUGACGCUGAGGAGCGAAAGCAUGGGGAGCGAACAGGAUUAGAUACCCUGGUAGUCCAUGCCGUAAACGUUGGGCACUAGGUGUGGGGGACAUUCCACGUUUUCCGGCCGUAGCCUAACGCAUUAAGUGCCCCGCCUGGGGAGUACGGCCGCAAGGCUAAAACUCAAAGGAAUUGACGGGGGCCCGCACAAGCGGCGGAGCAUGCGGAUUAAUUCGAUGCAACGCGGAAGAACCUUACCAAGGCUUGACAUGGACCGGUAAUACCUGGAAACAGGUGCCCCGCUUGCGGUCGGUUCACAGGUGGUGCAUGGUUGUCGUCAGCUCGUGUCGUGAGAUGUUGGGUUAAGUCCCGCAACGAGCGCAACCCUCGUUCUAUGUUGCCAGCGCGUGAUGGCGGGGACUCAUAGGAGACUGCCGGGGUCAACUCGGAGGAAGGUGGGGACGACGUCAAAUCAUCAUGCCCCUUAUGUCUUGGGCUUCACGCAUGCUACAAUGGCCGGUACAAAGGGUUGCGAUACUGUGAGGUGGAGCUAAUCCCAAAAAGCCGGUCUCAGUUCGGAUUGGGGUCUGCAACUCGACCCCAUGAAGUCGGAGUCGCUAGUAAUCGCAGAUCAGCAACGCUGCGGUGAAUACGUUCCCGGGCCUUGUACACACCGCCCGUCAAGUCACGAAAGUUGGUAACACC
rnacentral:rRNA from 2 species